rnacentral:rRNA from 1 species
AUUGAACGCUGGCGGCAGGCUUAACACAUGUAAGUCGAGCGGAGAUGAGGUGCUUGCACCUUAUCUUAGCGGCGGACGGGUGAGUAAUGCUUAGGAAUCUGCCUAUUAGUGGGGGACAACAUUCCGAAAGGAAUGCUAAUACCGCAUACGUCCUACGGGAGAAAGCAGGGGAUCUUCGGACCUUGCGCUAAUAGAUGAGCCUAAGUCGGAUUAGCUAGUUGGUGGGGUAAAGGCCUACCAAGGCGACGAUCUGUAGCGGGUCUGAGAGGAUGAUCGGCCACACUGGGACUGAGACACGGCCCAGACUCCUACGGGAGGCAGCAGUGGGGAAUAUUGGACAAUGGGCGGAAGCCUGAUCCAGCCAUGCCGCGUGUGUGAAGAAGGCCUUUUGGUUGUAAAGCACUUUAAGCGAGGAGGAGGCUACCUGGAUUAAUACUCUGGGAUAGUGGACGUUACUCGCAGAAUAAGCACCGGCUAACUCUGUGCCAGCCGCCGCAGUAA